rnacentral:rRNA from 1 species
AGUGAACGCUGGCGGUAGGCCUAACACAUGCAAGUCGAACGGCAGCACAGUAAGAGCUUGCUCUUACGGGUGGCGAGUGGCGGACGGGUGAGGAAUACAUCGGAAUCUACUUUUUCGUGGGGGAUAACGUAGGGAAACUUACGCUAAUACCGCAUACGACCUACGGGUGAAAGCAGGGGAUCUUCGGACCUUGCGCGAUUGAAUGAGCCGAUGUGGGAUUAGCUAGUUGGCGGGGUAAAGGCCCACCAAGGCGACGAUCCGUAGCUGGUCCGAGAGGAUGAUCAGCCACACUGGAACUGAGACACGGUCCAGACUCCUACGGGAGGCAGCAGUGGGGAAUAUUGGACAAUGGGCGCAAGCCUGAUCCAGCCAUACCGCGUGGGUGAAGAAGGCCUUCGGGUUGUAAAGCCCUUUUGUUGGGAAAGAAAAGCAGCAGGUUAAGACCCCGCUGUUCUGACGGUACCCAAAGAAGAAGCACCGGCUAACUUCGU